CUGACUGCCUUCUUGUUUAUUUUGAGUCCUUCAUGUCAGUUUGUCCUUUGUUGCACUUACACUUUAGUUCCAUGGUUGUUUUUGCAUUUUGUGUACUUGAUGUUGUAUUUUGGUUUUAUGUCUUAGGUUAUAUUU